UCAGUUAUGGUUCAUUUGAUCGUACAGUUUACUUGGAUAACUGUGGUAAUUCUAGAGCUAAUACAUGCGAGAAGCGCCGACCUCGCGGGAGGCGUGCAUUUAUCAGACCAAAAACCGGCCGCGUCUUCGGGCGCGUUCGCCUUGGUGACUCUGGAUAACUUUGCGGAUCGCACGGUCUAGCACCGGCGACGGAUCAUUCAAGUGUCUGCCCUAUCAACUUUCGUCGGUACGGUAUUUGCCUACCGAGGUUCUUACGGGUGACGGGGAAUCAGGGUUCGAUUCCGGAGAGGGAGCCUGAGAAACGGCUACCACAUCCAAGGAAGGCAGCAGGCGCGCAAAUUACCCAUUCCCGACGCGGGGAGGUAGUGACGAAAAAUAACAAUGCAGGACUCGUUCGAGGCCCUGUAAUUGGAAUGAGUACACUUUAAAAGCUUUAACGAGUAUCCAUUGGAGGGCAAGUCUGGUGCCAGCAGCCGCGGUAAUUCCAGCUCCAAAAGUAUAUAUUUAAGUUGUUGCGGUUAAAAAGCUCGUAGUUGGAUUUUGGGCGCAGGCGGCCGGUCCGUCGCAAGGCGUGUACUGGACGUCCUGGCCUUCCCUCCGGUUCUCCGCCGGUGCUCUUGACUGAGUGUCGGCGGCGGCCGGAACGUUUACUUUGAAAAAAUUAGAGUGUUCAAAGCAGGCUCUCGAGCCUGGAUAAGGGUGCAUGGAAUAAUGGAAUAGGACCCUCGG
rnacentral:ncRNA from 1 species